rnacentral:SRP_RNA from 2 species
GCUGGGUGUGGUGGCGCACACCUGUAGUCCCAAGCUACUAGGGAGGCUGAGGCAGAAGAAUCACUUGAACCCAGGAGGCGAAGGUUGCAGUGAGCUGAGAUUGUGCCACUGCACUCCAACCUGGGUGACAAAGUGAGACUGUGUCUCAA